rnacentral:rRNA from 1 species
UACGAAGGGGGCUAGCGUUGCUCGGAAUCACUGGGCGUAAAGGGCUCGUAGGCGGUCUGUCGCGUCGGGAGUGAAAACUCAGGGCUUAACCCUGAGCCUGCUUCCGAUACGGGCAGACUAGAGGUAUGCAGGGGAGAACGGAAUUCCUGGUGUAGCGGUGGAAUGCGCAGAUAUCAGGAGGAACACCGGUGGCGAAGGCGGUCUCUGGGCCGAUACUGACGCUGAGGAGCGAAAGCGUGGGGAGCGAACAGG